rnacentral:rRNA from 1 species
UACGGGGGGAGCAAGCGUUGUUCGGAUUUACUGGGCGUAAAGGGUUCGUAGGCGGUGCGGCAAGUUGGGAGUGAAAUCUCUGGGCUUAACCCAGAGGCUGCUUCCAAAACUGCUGUGCUUGAGUGUGGGAGAGGCGCGUGGAAUUGCAGGUGUAGCGGUGAAAUGCGUAGAUAUCUGCAGGAACACCCGUGGCGAAAGCGGCGCGCUGGACCACUACUGACGCUGAGGAACGAAAGCUAGGGGAGCAAACAGG